GUGGGUAUAAGCCUAAUUGGUAAGGCAGCAGUUUGCUAAACUGUGAGUAGCCGGGACCGCCGGCGUAUGAGUUCGAGUCUCAUUGCCCACG
rnacentral:tRNA from 2 species